rnacentral:rRNA from 1 species
GAUGAACGCUGGCGGCGUGCCUAAUACAUGCAAGUCGAGCGAACAGACGAGGAGCUUGCUCCUCUGACGUUAGCGGCGGACGGGUGAGUAACACGUGGAUAACCUACCUAUAAGACUGGGAUAACUUCGGGAAACCGGAGCUAAUACCGGAUAAUAUAUUGAACCGCAUGGUUCAAUAGUGAAAGACGGUUUUGCUGUCACUUAUAGAUGGAUCCGCGCCGCAUUAGCUAGUUGGUAAGGUAACGGCUUACCAAGGCAACGAUGCGUAGCCGACCUGAGAGGGUGAUCGGCCACACUGGAACUGACACACGGUCCAAACUCCUACGGGGGGCAGCAGUAGGGAAUCUCCCGCAAUGGGCGAAACCCUGCCGGAGCAACGCCGGGGGGGUGAAGAAGGUUUUCGGAUCGAAAAACUUUGUUUUUAGGAAAAAAAAAAUGUGUAAGUAACUAUGCACGUUUGGACGGUACCUAAUCAAAAAGCCACGGCUAACUACGU